GAUGAACGCUGGCGGCGUGCUUAAUACAUGCAAGUCGAGCGAACAGACGAGGAGCUUGCUCCUCUGACGUUAGCGGCGGACGGGUGAGUAACACGUGGAUAACCUACCUAUAAGACUGGGAUAACUUCGGGAAACCGGAGCUAAUACCGGAUAACAUGUUGAACCGCAUGGUUCAACAGUGAAAGACGGUCUUGCUGUCACUUAUAGAUGGAUCCGCGCCGCAUUAGCUAGUUGGUAAGGUAACGGCUUACCAAGGCAACGAUGCGUAGCCGACCUGAGAGGGUGAUCGGCCACACUGGAACUGAGACACGGUCCAGACUCCUACGGGAGGCAGCAGUAGGGAAUCUUCCGCAAAGGGCGAAAGCCUGACGGAGCAACGCCGCGUGAGUGAAGAAGGUCUUCGGAUCGUAAAACUCUGUUAUUAGGGAAGAACAAAUGUGUAAGUAACUAUGCACGUCUUGACGGUACCUAAUCAGAAAGCCACGGCUAACUACGUG
rnacentral:rRNA from 1 species